ensembl:antisense
AGCAGGCAGACGCAGCUUCUGCAAUGGUCGACAUUAACUGCUCCCAGCAGCGGAUCUGAUUAACACGAUACCAAAGUGAUUUUGUUACCUGUGGAUCUUCAAACUUCACAUCCAGAGUUGUGAGGAAUCAGAGGUGCAUGCAGCUGCCCACAAGAAAAAUUUGCCAUCAGCCCAACACAGUUUGGAUUAUCAUAGGACUGUCAGAGGUUUGCCAAACCUGUCAAAUGCAUGAUGGCUCCUGUUUGGACUUACCGAUGUCCUCGACUUCAAGUAUCCAUCAAAACUGUAUACAUUUGAGAUAUAUCAGAGACUCUUUGUGGGGCUGGACAUUAUGCAUCCUAAAUCUUCAUCAAAAUAUGCAAAUCUCCUCACUGAGUUGCCUUAGAUGAUUUCUCAAUAGGAUCUGGUAUUAUUAAUGUUUUUAUUUAUGUAUUGUGUACGUGUAGCCACAUUAAUGGCCUAUUUUGUAGUCACUAUUAAAAGGAACAUUGAUUGAUA